UCCUACUUAUCAUAGGCAGUUCCCUUAGAGUUCCCAACUGAAUGAUGGCAACUAAGGGCGAGGGUUGCGCUCGUUGCGGGACUUAACCCAACAUCUCACGACACGAGCUGACGACAGCCAUGCAGCACCUGUGUUCCUCCCACCCGAAGUGAAGGAUCUCAUCUCUGAGAUCCACAAAGGACAUGUCAAGGCCUGGUAAGGUUCUUCGCGUUGCCUCGAAUUAAACCACAUGCUCCACCGCUUGUGCGGGUCCCCGUCAAUUUCUUUGAGUUUUAACCUUGCGGCCGUACUCCCCAGGCGGAAUGCUUAAUGCGUUAGCGUCGUCACUGAGAGCUAAGCCCCCAACAACUAGCAUUCAUCGUUUAUGGCGUGGACUAC
rnacentral:misc_RNA from 1 species